rnacentral:lncRNA from 10 species
AUGAACCACCUGAUACAGGAAAAACAUAUCUAGCAACAGCCUCAGUUGGGCCAGGGGAGGCUGAGAAGCCACUGUGUCCGCUGCGCUUCAUUCUUCCCCUGGAAGGAUUUAUGAUCUCACACUGCCAUGACAUCACAAUGCGUUGCCAUGGGUCCCACUUUAUUAUCAUAAACAAAACGCCGUUCCUUGGGCCACUGCCUGUCUGAGCAGGAGGGGAGAAAAAGCCUCUGAGUUCCCUCCCUGUAGCCUCUGGACAAGGUUUGGGACGGGAACAAGAAGGAUGAAGUCAGCUCCCUGCAGGAGGAUCUCCAGCUCCGCGUGUUCUCACUGCCAAAAAGCAGCUUCCCCGGGCCUCCCUCACUGCUCCAAACAGUGGCAGUAACUAAGGCAGGACCAGCCACACCAGGAAGAGUGACCGUCGGGAUCUAAGUUCCCACCAGGGGCCUCUUCCCACGUAUUUUAUAGAAUUCCUGGGUAGCUGACUCAGAUGAGAGGGCUUAUUAUGAGGAAUCAUCGUUGUCAUGAGUCUGAGCUGAGUAAAGCUUCCGCACCCUGCCACAACCAUGCCAGAAAACCCUCAUUUCCAUUGCAGAACUGUCAGAUCGGCACUGUGAAAACAAGUCAGCCAAGAGCAGAAAUACCUGUAGGACGCAGAGGGGGCUCUCCCCAGCAUAAGGCCAUUUUGCAAGAAGCAAAUAAUGCUCUUAAGCAGCAGGAAGGAGAGAGGGAAGGGAGGGGAGAGAAGCCUUGGGGACAGAUGUGGGGGCACUGCCUGUGGGUCAGGAGGCCAGGUGAAGGACAGGUGGGUAAGCCGUCCCCGCCCCUCCCAGGAGAUGAACCAUGAGGGAGUUAGGACUCUGGAUAUAGAAGAGAACGAGUGAUGGGGACACGGAGGCCCCAAGUAGAGAAGGAGCUGGCCUGAGGUGGUACGGGAAGUUAGGCGCAACACUGCUGCAAUAUAUAGAGAGGGUUGUUUUUUGACCCCUACUUCCUGGAGAACACGUUCAUUAGACAGAAGCUUGGCCUUGUCCUGGGAUGCAUGAAUGUGUGUAUGGAUAAUUGGUACUGACCCAGAGACACAGAGCUAGGAUGGAGACAAGGCUGAAGAGAUGAGAGACCCAGCUUGCUGGCCAACAGUGAUGGUGUGCCAGAGGACAGAAGAGACGCCAGGAUGUGGGAGAGAAGAGAGGACUCCAGUCUGCAUGCUG